UACGUAGGGGGCUAGCGUUGUCCGGAAUCAUUGGGCGUAAAGCGCGUGUAGGCGGCUCGGUAAGUCCGCUGUGAAAGUCGGGGGCUCAACCCUCGGAUGCCGGUGGAUACUGUCGGGCUAGAGUACGGAAGAGGCGAGUGGAAUUCCUGGUGUAGCGGUGAAAUGCGCAGAUAUCAGGAGGAACACCAAUUGCGAAGGCAGCUCGCUGGGACGUUACUGACGCUGAGACGCGCAAGCGUGGGGAGCAAACAGG
rnacentral:rRNA from 1 species